CAGCAGCGGCUGACUAUCACAGGGUGAUGAUGGGUACGAGAGACAGGUAAACGAGAAAUGAAAGAUGCAGACCAGGAAGAGAUACACAGGAGACUUUGUCACAGCUGACAAAUAAAGGCCAUCUCUCUAUAGGAGAGAGGCAAAACAGGCUUGAGCUCUGGGACUUUCAUGGGGAGGCUCAGGAAUCAGAGCCACUAGGGUCUUAAUGCGGUGGCGGGGGCGUGAAAAUGGUCGGGUCGGUAUGAGGGAGUGGUGAGGCUUUCUCAGAAACGCCCUUAGGCGGAAAACGAAAUUUAAAAUGGUCAUGCAGAUGCUAAGCAGGGCCUUUUAGGUAGCUGGCUGGGUGGGAUGGGAAGCCUGGGGCACUUGAGGCCCAGUCCCAAAAGAAGGCAUGCGUGAGCAGCAGACGGAGGAUGGUGCCCUACAUGGGGAACCAGCGUUGGGCCACCUGGAGUCAGGAAGGACUGGCAAAGAAGCCUGGGGAAAGGGCAUCUUGGGUGGAGCACCUGAGGGUUGGGGGGCCGCGGCAGGAAGCAGCGGAGAGGGCCCUGGAGGCCAUGGUAUUCUGAAGCUUCCUAAGGUCAGGCUGGAGGUUUUGGAGCGAGGGAAGCUGGUGUGGGGAGGCGGCGGCAGGACGGAGACCUACGGAGCAGAUGGCUUUGGGUUAGCUGUGCCAGAGUUAGGACAGGAACGGGCAGCUCGCAUGUGGGUACUGAUAUAGAGCGGGGGUCCAGGGAGGGGCGGGUUGGCGAAGCAAUGGUGACUACGACGGUGACAUCCGCGGGGGCGACUGGUGGACCAAGCUCCCGGAUCGGGUACCUUGGCGCCUCUUCACCUCUGGUCACCAACCGGCUUCCAUCUGGGGCCAAGGCCCGUCCGGGCUCGAGGGCGAGGCUGGCACAGACUCGGACCUUCACGUAUUCCCACAGCAGGGGACCCCGCCUACUGAGCGCGGAGCGCGGAACUCCGACUCGCGUUCGUGGGAACCUGCACCCUCCGGCUUGGAACUUGGUGGUGCCCCGAGCCACCGCCCGAGAGCGCCUCCGCAGCACGCAGCUGUAACCGGGGGGCCACCGCCCGAGCGCGCCGCCGGCCCCGAUUGCACCUGGGGUGACCGCGGGACGGUUCUGGCGAAUCUCCCCGCGCGCCCCUCUGGCCAGCCGGGCCGUCCGCGUCCUCCCAGGUCCUGCCCGGGAUUCUGCCCGCGCCAUCCCCGCGCAACUGGGUCCGGGGUGCGCGGCCCAUCCGCGCACGGGCUGCGGUGGUGGAGCCCCGCCCGCCACGCCCCCUGCCCGCGGCCGGACUCGGCGCCAGCUCCUCAGAGGUCGGGGCGGCCUAGGCGGGCACGCGAAGGGCUCGGCGAUGUCUUCGGAGGCCUUCUGCGCGGUCGCUUUUGCUGCUGUCGCUGUGCUGCGGGUGUACCCAAGGCCUCGCCCAGCUCCAUUUUUUUUCCUCCUUAUGGAAAAUCCUAAUCAAAUUACUUAAUUCUAGGUAUGAGUGGCGGGUUCAGGGUGUUUCGUUACUGUUAGUAUUCUUGCACCUUUUUCCCUCCAAAAGUUUUUAGUUGGCUUCAAAUAAACUG
rnacentral:lncRNA from 1 species